rnacentral:lncRNA from 1 species
AAACUAUUGUUCCUGUUUCACACAGAAGAAAACUGAGGUUGGCACUCAUCAUGAGCCCCUGUUCUCAUUCUGCAAAUGGUGAAGCUCUCUAUUGUCCUGACCCCACAGUUCCUGUCCCAUGACCAGGGCCAGCUCACCAAGGAGCUGCAGCAGCAUGUAAAGUCAGUGACAUGCCCAUGCGAGUACCUGAGGAAGACGAUCCUACACCUGCCACCUCCGAUGGAUCCACUGCCUCUGUGCCUGCCUGUACUGCUGAUGCUCCAGUGGAUAACUCAGCAUCCCAGCCUAGGCCCAAUGCCACUGAAGAUGGACCUGCCCCCUGGGGACCCAGGAGUCCUACCACUCAGCUGUCCCCAGGAGUGCCCAGACCCUCAUUCUUAUCCAGGACCUAGGAGCCCUACCCCUGGCCUUCCCUCAUCAGCCGUAAAUGAUGAUUUACUGCUGUUACCAUCAUCACUGCCUUCAGUGACCAAGGGCCUUCCAAGGUGCCAGCUCUGGAACGAAGGAUGCCCUUGGGAGGUGAUGACACUCAGGUUGAUGGACGGAUGGCUACAUGGAUGUGAUGGAGAUGGUUUACUAUCGGGACCUUCCGCACCCUGCUGAUGUUUUGUUGCUUAGGAUAUGAAUGGCU